AGGUUACUGCUAUCGGUGUUCGCCUAAGCCAUGCGAGUCAUAUGUUCGUAAGAACAUGGCGUACUGCUCAGUAACACGUGGAUAACCUGCCCUUGGGUCCGGCAUAACCCCGGGAAACUGGGGAUAAUUCCGGAUAACGCACAUAUGCUGGAAUGCUUUAUGCGUAAAAUGGAUUCGUCUGCCCAAGGAUGGGUCUGCGGCCUAUCAGGUAGUAGUGGGUGUAAUGUACCUACUAGCCUACGACGGGUACGGGUUGUGAGAGCAAGAGCCCGGAGAUGGAUUCUGAGACAUGAAUCCAGGCCCUACGGGGCGCAGCAGGCGCGAAAACUUUACAAUGCGGGAAACCGUGAUAAGGGGACACCGAGUGCCAGCAUCCUAUGCUGGCUGUCCGGGUGUGUAAAAUACACCUGUUAGCAAGGGCCGGGCAAGACCGGUGCCAGCCGCCGCGGUAACACCGGCGGCCCGAGUGGUGAUCGUGAUUAUUGGGUCUAAAGGGUCCGUAGCCGGUUUGGUCAGUCCUCCGGGAAAUCUGACAGCUUAACUGUUAGGCUUUCGGAGGAUACUGCCAGACUUGGAACCGGGAGAGGUAAGAGGUACUACAGGGGUAGGAGUGAAAUCUUGUAAUCCCUGUGGGACCACCUGUGGCGAAGGCGUCUUACCAGAACGGGUUCGACGGUGAGGGACGAAAGCUGGGGGCACGAACCAGACUAGAUACCCGGGUAGUCCCAGCCGUAAACGAUGCUCGCUAGGUGUCAGGCAUGGCGCGACCGUGUCUGGUGCCGCAGGGAAGCCGUGAAGCGAGCCACCUGGGAAGUACGGCCGCAAGGCUGAAACUUAA
rnacentral:rRNA from 1 species